GUCCCUACGGGGCGCAGCAGUAGGGAAUCUUCCACAAUGGGCGAAAGCCUGAUGGAGCAACGCCGCGUGGGUGAAGAAGGUCUUCGGAUCGUAAAACCCUGUUGUUAGAGAAGAAAGUGCGUGAGAGUAACUGUUCACGUUUCGACGGUAUCUAACCAGAAAGCCACGGCUAACUACGUGCCAGCAGCCGCGGUAAUACGUAGGUGGCAAGCGUUAUCCGGAUUUAUUGGGCGUAAAGGGAACGCAGGCGGUCUUUUAAGUCGGCGGUAAAAGCCCGGGGCUCAACCCCGGCGAGCCGGUGAAAA
rnacentral:rRNA from 1 species